GGUUGGACUGACGUUACUCAGAGAAGAAGCACCGGCUAACUUCGUGCCAGCAGCCGCGGUAAUACGAAGGGUGCAAGCGUUACUCGGAAUUACUGGGCGUAAAGCGUGCGUAGGUGGUUGUUUAAGUCUGUUGUGAAAGCCCUGGGCUCAACCUGGGAAUUGCAGUGGAUACUGGGCGACUAGAGUGUGGUAGAGGGUAGUGGAAUUCCCGGUGUAGCAGUGAAAUGCGUAGAGAUCGGGAGGAACAUCCAUGGCGAAGGCAGCUACCUGGACCAACACUGACACUGAGGCACGAAAGCGUGGGGAGCAAACAGGAUUAGAUACCCUGGUAGUCCACGCCCUAAACGAUGCGAACUGGAUGUUGGGUGCAAUUUGGCACGCAGUAUCGAAGCUAACGCGUUAAGUUCGCCGCCUGGGGAGUACGGUCGCAAGACUGAAACUCAAAUGAAUUGACGGA
rnacentral:rRNA from 1 species